rnacentral:rRNA from 1 species
AUACGGAGGGUCCGAGCGUUAAUCGGAAUUACUGGGCGUAAAGCGCGCGUAGGUGGAUGUAUAAGUCAGAUGUGAAAGCCCUGGGCUCAACCUAGGAACUGCAUUUGAAACUGUACGUCUAGAGUAUGGUAGAGGUGAGUGGAAUUUCAGGUGUAGCGGUGAAAUGCGUAGAGAUCUGAAGGAACAUCAGUGGCGAAGGCGACUCACUGGGCCAUUACUGACACUGAGGUGCGAAAGCGUGGGGAGCAAACGGGAUUAGAAACCCCUGUAGUCC